rnacentral:tRNA from 1 species
AGCCUUAUAGUCUAAUAAAAGGAUAUUAAAUUGCAAAUUUAGGGGUAAAUGGAAAUUUUAAGGCUU